rnacentral:rRNA from 1 species
UACGUAGGGUGCGAGCGUUAAUCGGAAUUACUGGGCGUAAAGCGUGCGUAGGCGGUGUCUUAAGUUUGUUGUGAAAUCUCCCGGCUUAACCGGGAGGGUGCGGCGAAUACUGAGAUGCUGGAGUGCCGGAGAGGUAAGCGGAAUUCCUGGUGUAGCGGUGAAAUGCGUAGAUAUCAGGAGGAACACCGGUGGCGAAGGCGGUUCUCUGGGCAUUACCUGACGCUGAGGAGCGAAAGUGUGGGGAGCGAACAGG